rnacentral:lncRNA from 1 species
ACCUGACCAUCAUCAGAAAGAUACAACUAAAUUAAUAUAUUAUGAAUGAUAAUUCUGACAGCCAGAUGAGCACCAGGCAUAUGGCACCUCCAAUGAUCAUCUAAACUGUUGGACCCAUUAUCAUUCAACUUAAUAAGAUGCUAUGAUCUAGUUAUCACCAUAAUUAUUUUAUUUUUAGAGACUCAAUAAUUUUAGAGGAUUUAAUUAGUUGAAUUGAGAGAUGAGAAAAGAUUUGACCAGUUAGUCUUAAUCCUCCCA